UACGUAGGGUGCGAGCGUUAAUCGGAAUUACUGGGCGUAAAGCGUGCGCAGGCGGCGCGUUAAGUCAGGUGUGAAAGCCCCGAGCUUAACUUGGGAAUUGCGCUUGUGACUGGCGUGCUGGAGUGUGGCAGAGGGAGGUGGAAUUCCACGUGUAGCAGUGAAAUGCGUAGAGAUGUGGAGGAACACCGAUGGCGAAGGCAGCCUCCUGGGCCAGCGCUGACGCCCAUGCACGAAAGCGUGGGGAGCAAACAGG
rnacentral:rRNA from 1 species